GCCAGCAUGGUGUAGUGGUUUGAACAUUGGAUUAUGACUCUGGAGACCAGGGUUCAAAUCACCAUUCAGCCA